ACUAGGAUAAGGAAUAGAAAAGAUAGCGUCGUAAGAUAAGCGUUUUCUAAAAAUGCGUUACAAUUUAUUUACGUAUCAUUUUUGGCAGCACUCGCGUCUUAUUAGUAAAUGGUUAAAGGCCAUAUUCUAAGAUUUGAAUAUCUUCAGAAAGAAUUUGUAAAGUGGGCUUUUACAAAUAUAAGAUGGAUUCUGAAGAGGAUGAUAUUCUUCCUGAAGCACGAGUAUUUUGUAAUCGGGCUGAGGACGUCUUGAAAGCGCGUGAUGAAGAAUAUGCAAAAAUGUGUAUGAAAAUGGAAGAGGAAGAUGCAAAGCCUGAUGUUACAG